AAUGAACGCUGGCGGCAGGCCUAACGCAUGCAAGUCGAACGGAUCCUUCGGGAUUAGUGGCGGACGGGUGAGUAACGCGUGGGAACAUACCCAAAGGUACGGAAUAGCCUCGGGAAACUGGGAGUAAUACCGUAGGUGCUCGAAAGAGGAAAGAUUUAUCGCCUUUGGAUUGGCCCGCGUUGGAUUAGGUAGUUGGUGGGGUAAUGGCCUACCAAGCCGACGAUCCAUAGCUGGUUUGAGAGGAUGAUCAGCCACACUGGGACUGAGACACGGCCCAGACUCCUACGGGAGGCAGCAGUGGGGAAUCUUAGACAAUGGGGGAAACCCUGAUCUAGCCAUGCCGCGUGAUCGAUGAAGGCCUUAGGGUUGUAAAGAUCUUUCAGGUGGGAAGAUAAUGACUGUACCACCAGAGGAAGCCCCGGCUAACUCCGUGCCAGCAGCCGCAGUAA
rnacentral:rRNA from 1 species